UACGGAGGGUGCAAACGUUGCUCGGAAUCAUUGGGCGUAAAGCGCACGUAGGCGGUCCAGCAAGUCGGGUGUGAAAGCCCUCGGCUUAACCGAGGAAGUGCAUUCGAAACUACUGGACUUGAGUACUGAAGAGGAUCGCGGAAUUCCCGGUGUAGAGGUGAAAUUCGUAGAUAUCGGGAGGAACACCAGCGGCGAAGGCGGCGAUCUGGGCAGAUACUGACGCUGAGGUGCGAAAGCGUGGGGAGCAAACAGG
rnacentral:rRNA from 1 species